AGAAGGAGUAGGGUGAAGAAUGUUUCGGGUAGGGUGAGAAAAAGGAGUAGGGUGAAGAAUGUUUCGGGUCCCUACUAGUGGUAGGGAAGUCAAUUUCUAAUGCGAAAGUUGGUUUAAUGGGUUUACACAUUGGUAUACGUACGAUAUAUGGAUUAAUUAGAGAGCGGAUGGGUUCCGUCGCGAAUCCGUGACCAAAUUGGAUAAAACGAAAUUGUAGUUUCGAUGCCCUCGUUGUACUGAACGCGAUGGCUCAGUCGGAUCGAAAAUCCGACGGACGGAUCUUCGAGAAUCGUGAAAAGUCCGCUGAGAGGUCAAGUUGGCAAAAUCGAUUAUUCGCGAAAAGGUUCAAUAUUUUAUGCGUGGUCUUGAGCAAAUUCGAACGUCGAGGGACCUAUACGCAUAAUCCACAUGCUAGCGGGGGGCUUGGUAAGAAUUACUGGACUAGGAGUGGUUCUCCGCAAUUGUACACAUAGAAUAAAUAGGUUCUAGGGUUCAACCAGGGAACCCUAACCCUAAUUAUCUUCCUAGUUGCCCUAGCCGCCCCGCCUCCACCCUGCCCAACCAGUGCUCACGCCCCGGCCGCCGGCGAGCUGCUCCGGCCGCCGGAAAAGCCACCCCAACCUUCUCUCGGUUCCCCUCUAGCCCCGACUUGCCACAUCUUCGAUCGUUGUGCUCGGGGGAACAUCAAAGCCCGAGCACCAUCUUCCCCUGGCCGAGGCCCAUCCCCGGCGUCCUCCCCCGCCGGCCCCGGCCACCCCCGAGCGCCGCCGGAGCCACCCCUGCUCCCUGCGGCCAACUCGGGUCAACCCUAUCCGAGCCGGCUCAAGCUCUGCGACCACGCCUUCCUCUCGGCCACGCUGCCUCCUUUCGGCCUCGGCGACCUCCGGCAACCCGGCGCGCGCGUCCCCCGCCGUCCCCGCGCGCCGCCGGCCGCCGCUGGAACCUUCUGUGGCCGCCCAGACCUGUGCGGGCUGAGGUCGGGCCCGCUCGGCUUCCAAGCGCCGCCGCCGCCCACCGGGGGGUGCACCGCCCUCCCCUCGGCCUCCGGCGCCGCACCGUAGCCGCCCCGACCUCCUCCGGCCGCCGCCGCGCCGCCGGGAAGCACGAAACCGAGAGGGAGUGGGCGGAGUCGAUCUCCUCCGCCGCGCCACCGGUUGCCGCCCGCCGCCGGCCAGCACCCUCCCCGGACCUCUCGGACCGGCUGCUCCCAUCCCCGGCCGGAGUGCCCGCCUCCCGGCCGCCGGCGACCAACCCUAGCUCCCACUGCUCCGGUAUGCUGUUUUUGAGUUCCAGCAUUGCAAUUUAAGCUUUCCGGCCACCUUUCCGGUGAUCCGAUGACUCCCCGACACCUCGAGAAGUGAGCACGAUGAUCUAGGGUUCGUGCUGAACAUCGUGCUCACCUCCGACAGCGGCAAAGAUGCCCUGGUUAGCAAGUUAGUCGCGACCUUCGCGCUGUGCGCACUGUUUCACAGAUUUCGUGUCGCUCGUGCGCGCACCGCAGUGGUCGGCAGUGCUCCGAAAGGUGAGCACGGCCUCUGACAUGAUGAAACCUGUCAGCGAGUGCGACGGUCGAAUUAAUCGACCUCUGGUUUGCGUGCACGGUCCAGAAAAGCCUAGAAAUCACAUGAAAUGAUGCGAUUUCAUGUAUCGGUAUGGGCUUUUAGGACUUUUGCUUCGAUGUAGAUGCUGUUGGCAGCACGUUUGGGCUGAGGAUAACCUCUGGACUGAUCGUCCAAGGCCCCAAGCCCUUGCGGAAAUCGAAAAGUGGUUUUCGGAGCGUUUUUCGGCGAAAUCCGUCGAUAGAACGCGUUUUCGAUUCGGAAUUCAUCCGAUGGUACCUUAUGGUUGAUUGUAGCGUCGCUGAGCCUUGUUGGCUCGUCACCCGUGUCGUUUCGAGGGUUUGGAAAUGACGGGUGAGCGACGAGGGAGUUCCGGUGCGGUUUUCAGGACUUCCGAUUUGUUCGGUAAUCGGUUUUGAAAAACCGGUUCUCGUGGUUUUGGUGAGUGGGGAUUGUGAGUUAGCGUUACAUGUCAGUGGGUUAGAUCUUAACCCGUUGGACCUUUCGUAGGUUCGAUUGUUCCGUCUUCACAGUCGAGAGAUCUUCGUCAGACACGUACAGGUGGGUACUUCGAUCCGACGUUGGUACAGUGAUGCACGCUCGGUGAUGGUUUCUUACCCUUACUCUUUUGUUAUUAUCCAUGCUUAUAUUAUAUGUUGAGCUUUGCACCUCUAUUAUUUACAUUACACCCAUGUUGUUUGAUUAUACUCUACUUAGAUGAUUCCAUGCUUAGUAUCAUGUGUAGGAGUAUAGUCUAUCUGUAUGUGAUACCAUGUUUCCUUGUUGCUCUACUUAGCUAUUCUGCAUACCCUGUUUCAUAUUUAUAGUAGAGCGAUUCUGUGAUUAUCUGUGAGAUUAGCGAUCUAGUCGAUCGAUUCUAGUAUUCAGUAUUUGUGACCUAUUCGGUGAGUUCCUCGACCUUUGUUGUCUGAUGACCGUUGAGGUCGGUAUACCCUGAGGGGUGGGAUUGUCGGUUAGUUGCCGACGAAUGAUUAUACUUUACUCAUAUCCUAUACUUGUGACAUGAUUGGUCGAGUUUCAUAUCCUAUACUUGUGACAUGAUUGGUCGAGUUUCAUAUCCUAUACUUGUGACAUGAUUGGUCGAGUUUCAUAUCCUAUACUUGUGACGUGAUUGGUCGAGUUUCAUAUCCUAGUUGAUCUGAGUGGUCAGUCCUUAUGGCUCAUUGAGUAGUAUUUGCAUAUGUUUGAGAGGAUGUCGAUGUUGUCCCAUCCUAGUUGACCUGAGUGGUCGGUUCUUGUGCUUCUUUACAGUUGACGACCUAUGCGGUCGAUGGGCCCUGGGGGGCAGGAUUGUCGGCUGGUUGUCGACGGUUGAUUAUUGAGCAUAUUGCAUUGAUCGCCCGAUACUUAUCGCAUUUCACGAACACUGGCGGUCUGAUCCACCGCAAGGAGUGUUCUUUUCUGAAAAAGUGGUUGAAUGGUGACAACCCGUGAGCCCUAAAGAGGUUAUAUGCACUGGAGAGUAGUAGUGGCACUGGCUUGAGGUCUGCGGUGCUGACCAAGAGAGCAUUGGUUUCAGAUUGGGUACUUUUGGACUUCUUCACCGGUUGACGCAUAUGUCUAUAGUAGCAGUCGUUGCAUGCAUACUUACAGUUCUUACUUUAUAGUUGUCUUGCUGCUAUAGUAGAUAUUCAUGUAUGCUUUCGGUUCCAGUUACAGUAGCGGUAGCCGUUAUUCAGUCUAGUUCUUACUUUCUUUCAGUUUAUUGCUACUGUAUUUAGUAUAUCUGCUCAUUACCUUAUACAUCUCUUUUGUUUACUAUUGUUCCUAUUGUAUUUCUACUGACCCGUAUUGUUGUAUAGCUCUUCCUGAUCUGGUGAGUACUCCUCGCCUUCUUCGGCCUGCGGUACCCACUGGGAGGGGAGACAUGUUUACAUGUUCUCACCUCCCCCACCAUUUUUCAGGUAUCGCGGGCGAUGAGUAGUGGGACGAG
rnacentral:lncRNA from 1 species